GAACGCUGGCGGCGUGCUUAACUCAUGCAAGUCCGAACGGAAAGGCCUGCUUUCCCUUGUGGAUUGCGGGUACUCGAGUGGCGAACGGGUGAGUAACACGUGAGUGAUCUGCCCCCAACUUGGGUAUAAGCCUGGGAAACUGGGUCUAAUUCCCGAUAGGACUGCAGGGUGGUGCCUGUGGUGGAAAACGAUUUUCUAGUGGUUGGGGAUGAGCUCGCGGCCUAUCAGCUUGUUGGUGGGGUAAUGGCCUACCAAGGCGGCGACGGGUAGCCGGCCUGAGAGGGUGGACGGCCACAUUGGGACUGAGAUACGGCCCAGACUCCUACGGGAGGCAGCAGUGGGGAAUAUUGCACAAUGGGCGGAAGCCUGAUGCAGCAACGCCGCGUGGGGGAUGACGGCCUUCGGGUUGUAAACUCCUUUCGACCGCGAGGAAGCCACCUGGUUGGAAGGGUGGUGACGGUAGUGGUAGAAGAAGCACCGGCUAACUACGUGCCAGCAGCCGCGGUAAUACGUAGGGUGCGAGCGUUGUCCGGAUUUACUGGGCGUAAAAAGCUCGUAGGUGGCUUGUCGCGUCGUCUGUGAAAGUCUGGGGCUUAACUCCGGGUGUGCAGGCGAUACGGGCUGGCUUGAGUGCUGUAGGGGAGACUGGAAUUCCUGGUGUAGCGGUGGAAUGCGCAGAUAUCAGGAGGAACACCGAUGGCGAAGGCAGGUCUCUGGGCAGCCACUGACGCUGAGGAGCGAGAGCAUGGGUAGCGAACAGGAUUAGAUACCCUGGUAGUCCAUGCUGUAAACGGUGGGCGCUAGGUGUGGGGACUUUCCAUGGUUUCCGUGUCGUAGCUAACGCGGUUAAGCGCCCCGCCUGGGGAGUACGGCCGCAAGGCUA
rnacentral:rRNA from 1 species